rnacentral:rRNA from 1 species
UACGUAGGGUGCGAGCGUUAAUCGGAAUUACUGGGCGUAAAGCGUGCGCAGGCGGUUUUGUAAGCCCGGUGUGAAAUCCCCGGGCUUAACCUGGGAAUGGCAUUUGGGACUGCAAGGCUGGAGUGCGGCAGAGGAGACUGGAAUUCCUGGUGUAGCAGUGAAAUGCGUAGAUAUCAGGAGGAACACCGAUGGCGAAGGCAGGUCUCUGGGCUGACACUGACGCUCAUGCACGAAAGCGUGGGGAGCAAACAGG